UUUAUGUCGGAUGCUAAUUUUGAGUAUAAUAUUAUUGGAACGUUAUAGAAAUAAUUAUUAGUUUUCGCUGUUCAUGCUUUAAAGGUGAAGGGAUAUUUUAAUGGUAAUCGUUACUCCGUUCGUGUGACCGAGUGUUUCUCUGAUACAUAUUGUUUGAUUUUGGUCUUUGUCAGAUGGAUCAUCAUAAAAAGCAAUGCUCAUGGUAUUAUGACAUGGUACUGUUAAAAAUAUAACAGGAGUGUUGACCUUUUUAGCUUACAGGAGGGAGCACAAAGUACUAAUGUUGAAUCCCCUGUUUGUCCGUUUGAGGGCGUCAAGAUUUUUUCUCAAUCUGAUAUAAUAUAUAAUAUUAAUGCUACGAAUUGGAUCUGACGACAGGCUAUUGGGGCUCAUGUUCAUCAGUCAGAACCCUCGUUGUGAAAGUAGAAGUUUAACAAAUUAAAAUUUAAAUUAAAGAAUUAGUUUUUUCCCUAUUUUUUCCAUUCAAAAUUGAAAAACUUGUGUAAUAGGUACUGAAGGUAAACUGCAUUAAUUAUAAUCGGGCGUGAUCUGUUCUUGAUUUCACAUUUUUAAGGUAAUUUAGAAGCAAUUCUCAUGUUCUUAUGUCCAUAAUAUGACGAAACUUUAUUCUAAAGAAAUGUAUUUAGCCAAAAUCUGAAAAUCUGAGUCCAAUCUCUUUUAGCCAAACGCUUGUUGAAACAAGUCGUCUGACUGGUUCAAAUAAAAAUAGAUUGGGGAAAAUAAAAGUAGCUAUUAUAUUGGAAAUCCGAUUAUACAGAAAGAUGCGGGCUGUCAUCAGAUCUAACUUUUAGGAAGUUCGAGAACUUUAGUCAGAUUGGAUUUUCCUCAAGCAACAUCUCCUGUGAAACCACUAGUUAAAGCUUGGUCUUUAUAUGCCUUGCGUUGUACUCUUCCAAGGUGUCAGACGGUUUCGACUGGCUAGACGUAGGUGCCGCAGUAGCUAGACUUCUUUAAAGGUCAUAUCCUAAAUCAAUGAUCCGAUAUUGAAAUGCUUUCACAGAAAUGUUUCUUGGUUGGCCUUCUAUCAAAGGUGUUCCAGUAAUUUUGAUUUGUCAAAAAGUCAAAAAAAAAAAAAUUGCCCACAUGUAUAUAUAUGUAUAUAAACGAAUCUUAAAAAUAUCUUAUUAGAAACUGCCUGCUCAAUUUUGAAAUAAGCUUACACAAAAGUUUCUUUGGUGACUUUUACCAAGACUGUUUUAAUUAUUCUGCUUUGUCUAAAAAUAUGCCAGGAGCUAAAAUAAAAAUAAAUCUCAAAAUAACAUCUACUCCAUUGGUCCGUUUUGGAAUAAUUUCACAGAAUGAGUCUUAGAUGACCAUUUAGCAAGAGUGUAUGGUAUAACUUGGAUUUGACAGAAACAUGGCCACCAGACCUAAAUAUAGAAAAUCUCCUACACCAUUCGUCUUCUUUCGAAAUAAUUUCGCAGAAAUGUUUCUUGGGCGAUCCUCAACUAAGAUUGUUAAAUGUCUCCUCCUCUGUAUCUACCAGAAACGUUUGUCGCUUUAUCUGUCUGAGCUGUGAAACUUUGGUGAGCGGUAUAGGGCCACCCUUACCCUUACCCUCUUGCUUCGUAAUCGUGGAGUAUAGAUAGGAGAUAUUGUGGCUGUUGCUCAGUUUCUUUUUGAGGGAUUUUAAAUUUCUUAGAUGAUUAACGUUAAUGUGUAGGUACACGUAAGAAUUACUAGUUUUACUUUAAGUUUGUCAGAGGUCACUUAUGUUAUUUACUAUAUGCAAAGAAAGAUACUGAUUGUGACCUGCCUAUUUUUUAUUACAGUUAUGGCACUUUGAAUAUGGUUUUAUUAAUAUAAAUACUGUGACAUAAUGAAUAUUUAGAGUGUAAUACUAAUGGUCAUGUAACAGUAGUCAGAGGAACAACUAAAGAAGUGCAAGUUUUGUUAAAACUAUAGAAAACACAAGAAAUAAAAAGGAAAAUACGUUUCUGUUACAUGUAUGAUCAAAAUAUCGUUCACUCCUUUACACAUUACUUUACAUUUUCACUUGUACCUACAAAAUGUAGCAUUUUGAGUUCACUCUGAGAAAAAUAUUUCGAUCAUACACGGAUAUAAGCCAAUAUCUUCAAUUUAGUGUAAUGUAAUAAAAGAAUGUGCUGUACACAAAGUGUAAUUGUGUGUUGAAUACUACUGUACAACCAUUUACAAAUAUUUGAUGAUCUUUAAACUUUAUUCGAAACUAAUUAUGAGUCCGUGUCUGCAUGAUUGUUGAGUUGUCUAAUAAUUAUUAAAAUACAUUGUGUGAAGGAUAAAGCUGUUUCUUUGACCGCCUAAGAUAUAGAUAUGUUUUAACAUACUUUUCCUUUUUUUCUUAUUAAUUAAAUUUGAUAUUUCAUUUCAUAGCUUAUCUUUGUUUUGUUUUUUUCUCUUGUUUUUUUUCCCCAAAAGUAAAUAUAAAAUAUUGCAUAUAAAAUAUUUACUUAGUAUGUAUUUAUCUUGAACACCACUCUGAUCAUUUUGUUACAUUACUUAUUUCAGAGGAGGGCCGUCAUUAAUGUUAGAAAAACUUGUGGUCCAACCCAUUUGCUUUUUACUUAAAUCAUCUUCAUCAUAUGUGUGUUUGUUUUAAUGUGUUAUAUGUACAAUGUAUUGCAUGUUCUAGAUUUAUAUUAGCAAUAAAAUAUGAUUAAAUAAAAUAGAUAUUUUUAUUAUAACUUAAUAUUAGUGUACAUUGUAACUUGUACUGUUUGUCUUUAAUGAACAUUAAAUGUUGAUUAAUAUAACUACAUCAUUCAUUUGUUGUAUUUGUCUUUUAUCUAAAUCAAUAAAUAGCCAUUUAUUUAAAAUCUAAAAACAAUAUAUUUGUAAACUUUGUAAACAAUUAUAGCUUAAAUCACAAGUACAAGUGUAAUCUGACAAACAGACUACAGUUUUUUUAUAUUUAUUCCUUAUCUUGAACUAAAUGUAUUUGUAUAUUUUUCUGCUAUAAGCAUUAAAAGGUUUGAAUUUGUCAUUUGAUUAAAGGGUCAUAAUGCCUUUGAUUGUAAUGUGGCUGUCUCAUUUUUGUUAUGAACACAAAAUGUAUUCAUAUAUACUUAAAUAUUAUUUUCUGCCAUUGUUUUUUUUCUUUAAUAAUGGUCAAAGGCUUGACUAUUGAUUAACAUAAUAGAAAGUUUUAUUAAAUCCAAUGUUUUUGAUUAUAUCCCUUUGUGGAUCUAACUGCGUGUAUUCAUGUGCAGUAUUAAAUUAAUUACUUUUCUAACAUCUAUUUGGACAGGUGCAUUAACAGUUUUAGCAUAACACUUACAGUCUUAUGGAACUUCAGGAGCAGCAUGAAAUCGCCAACAGGAAAAGCCAUUUCAUUUAAUAUGUAUAUUUACUUAAAUUUAUUAAUAAAUAACAAGAGGUAAACCGUAGUGUACACUAUUGGUAUACUUGUACACAGGUAAACAUUUUAUCAGCAUGUAUACAAAAAAUAAAUGAUUUUCAAGUGGCCCAAGUAUUCAAGUGUUCUAUGUUGUUUUGUUUCAUCGAUAUUAAGUACGCGUAUGUCUACUAAAUUUUACGUAAUGUGUAAUAGAAUAAGAAUUUGCUUCCUGGUAAAAUAAAAAAUAAUGAUGAAAAAUUCUUUUGAUUUUAAUUAAUCUCAGCACAAAGUGUUCUAGGGUGAGUUAUUGGUAUUGUAAUGGAAUUCUCCCUUACAAAAUGAACGUCAUGAAAUUCUGUGACAAAUAAGAAUUUAGCAUACAAGUAACUGCUGAACUAGAGUAAUUUAACUUAAUACAAGGACAACAUUUAAAGUGUUUAUAUACGUCAUACCUAAGCAACUUUCCUUCAAAUGGACUGUUUUCUACAAAGAUUCUUCAUAAAAAUUAGAAUGUCAUCGUUGUUGACAUUUCUCCUUGUGAGAGAGUACUCUACAUUAGGAUACGUAACUCUUGCCAUAAUUAGUCCAGGAGGCAGAUGGUUCUUUUAGCGAAUAAAUUAAUUACUCCCCGAUACGUAUAGGAAGAGAUUUUUACCACAUCAUGACUAUCUACAGACGUAUUGGAACAUUUCUGACGCUGCUGCCUUGUGACAUUUACGGUAUUUAAAAAUGGCGGACACGGAACUUUGGUCUACUUCUACAUUUUAGGGUCCGGCUUUUCGUGAAUGUAUCUUUGUUAUGAAUGAGACUUUUAGGGAUUUAUAUUUAUGCUGAAAUAACUUAAAGCCUGAUGUAAGCCGGAUAUUUCACAUCAAUUUUAACAUUUUACUAUGUAUGUACUAUAUUUUGUUAGCAUAACAAAUUGUGCCUGCAUGUAUCACUACGCUCAGCGUAUAAUGUUCCGGCUUUUUGUCAGUAUGUUAUUUCAUAAUGUAUAUCAUGUAUAAUUAUGUGGCUUUUCUUUCAAGCCGUGCUUGUAGUACUCGAGCCUGAAAUGCAAUGCACUUUUAUUGUUCUCAUUGUUAAAUGCUGCUUUGGGCGUAUCACAUUACCUAGUCUUAAGCCGGGAUUUUCAUUGGUCAAAGUCGUUGCCAUUGGCACUCCGAAGGCUAUAAAUACGGGUGUCUGCGUUCAGUCGGUAUCUUCUUCUCAACCGUAAAACAUUGAGAAGCAAAACUUACAGACGAGUCAUUUCUAUCCAGAAAUACAUUCUUCUAUUCAGAAAUUCAUACAUUAACAGCUCUUUAGCAAGGUAAAAGAAACACUUAUUAGGCAGUCUUAACUUUAUUUUAAAGAGCAGAAAGUCAAAUUCAUAGAAUAGGCACUUUUAGCCUUACAGAACCACAACAACAACAACAAUAUUAUGAAGUAAAUACAAGACCAUGUAAAACCGAACCUUGCAGUAUGCCUAGUCUGAAUUACCACGUUAUGGCAGAACCAAAGAGAUGCAUUGGUCUACGUAAUUCUACUUAUAUUCACAUAUUACAAUGCUUUGUACUGAUGUAGAUUCUAUAUUUACUUCCUGAAGAGCACUUCCGGAAUCCUUUGUUUACAAAAUUACACAACAAUUCGUCAAGUGUAUCUUCCGUGAAAUAUGUCCUUCCUAAGGUUACAAGCUAAAGUGUGAUAAGUGUGGUCAUUGGACACACCUGAAAUACUGCUGUGCUGUGAAGUUUUUAAGAAGUCAUGAUGAGUUCUUUAAGUCACCACUGAAAGUGAUAAUUCUGGUUUAUCUGUGAUUUUGACAAAAAUGUGACAAAGUGCUGUUUGUGAUAUUAUUCAUUUAUUUUAUUCAUGUUAUAUGUUAUAAUAUACUGUUCUUCUCCACAGCAGAUUAAAAAAUCCAGUAGCUAAAACUUUCAGCUGUGUUUACUUGUUAUUUUUGUGUUUCUGGAUGCAAGUUUAAUGCAGUAGCAUUAUUUCCCACAAUUCCACCGGUAAUAGGUAACUGUAAACAUCCAAGAUGGCGACCAUGGUAGGUCAAAACAUGACCUAUUAUUUCCAAUAAUUCUGUUCCCAGGUGAAUAAAAUUAACUUUUAAUGAAAAGAAAAUAUUUGUUUCUUGAAAAUGAGUUUAAUUUUAGUAAGCAUAUGAAUCAAAUGUCAUGUAUUGUGGAAUAUCAAUCAUUAAUACACCGGUAAUUGGUACAUCCAGGAUAUAACUGCUUUGACUGAAGAAGAUCCCAUUGCAUAGGCCUAGGUCCUCCACUAUUAAUCUAUGACGAUGUAUUUAUUUCUACGAUGUAAUAUCAUUUCUACGAUGCCAUAUUGUCAACUUCUGGAACGUACUUUUAUGUUAUGUAAGCGUUAUACGAUUAUUAUGAUGUCGCAAUAUUAAAGAGCUAUUUUUAACCGUU